UCUACAGUUGAAGUCAGAAGUCGGUGCAGCCAGCUGGUUUCUUCACGCAUCGUACCGAGAGAACCAAGCAUCUUUCUGUUCCUAUUGCAGCUCAUACAAAUGACCGAAUGGAUGACAUACUGACUGAUGGCCAUACGUCUGGACAACCUUCUUCGGGAGCGCUGGCGCCAACGUCUCUCCUCGCCCCCCUCAUUUGGCUGUCCUGAGGCAGAACCUCAACCCAUGGAGGUAGGGGCCACAUUGCUCUCUGCGGCAGAGCGGGGCUCUGUCCUAUUUGCGGCUAGCUUCAGUGGUGUCCUGUGCUUCUCAACCCGGAUUCGACUAGGGCAGAGGGGCGGCCCCAUGAUCUUCUGUCUCCCAGGGUAAGCCUGAGUAUUCCAUCAUCAUCUUUUUCCGCCAACCCCUUUUUGGUUCCCAUUCCACUGGCUGGCUGUCCCUCCGGUUUUGUCUCUACAGCUUUAGUGGACUCCGGUGCCACGGGUAACUUCUUCGACCAGGCCCUCGCCUCUUCCCUGAACAUAACCUCGUACCUGCUCUCCUCUCCUUUUCCAUUCUAAGCCCUGGAAAAUUGACCAUUGGGACCUGGUACAAUUACAUAAAUCACAGCACCAUUCACCCUUAGCGUGGGACCCAUGCCCCAGGAAAGCCUUCCCUUCCUCAUCAUCACCAUACACAAAGUCUUCCUCCAAUGUCAUAACCCCACCAUCUCCUGGUCGAGGAUGAAAAUCACUACCUGGGCACCAGGAUGCUGGAAGACUUGCUUUUCUGUACCCUGUGGUUCCACAUCUGUUGAGAGUCCUGUAAGUGCCCUCCAGCCCAUCAUUCGGUCCUCCUGUAUCAUUGGCCCCAUGUUUUGGGGUGUAGAUGUGGACAUCCGCCAGGCUCUGGAGAGGGAACCAGCUCCUGCUUUCUGCCCUCCUGAAUGCAUGUACGUCCCCACGGUGGUAAGAGAUCGGCUGUUGACCUGGGCACACACAUCCCUCGCAGCUGGAUACCCAGGUAUCACCCGCACCAUUCAAUCCAUCUCCCCUAAGUACUGUUGGCCCACCUUGGCACAGGACGUCGCCCACUAUGUCAACUCAUGUUCAGUAUGUGCCCAAACAAAAUCUCCCCGACUUGGUCCAGCAGCGAAACUCCUUCCCAUACCCGUGCCUCAGCGGCCUUGGUCCCAUCUGUCCAUGGAUUUUGUCACUCUCUCCAGUCUCUCCACCUCUCUUCAGUUCGCUGAGGAACUGUUCCAGUGGGUUUUCCAGCAGUAUGGCUUUCCGGAGGACCUCGUCUCUGACCGUGGCCCUCAAUUCACGUUGCUGGUAUGGAGAGUCUUCAUGGAGAAGCUGGGGGCCACGGCCAACCUCACAUCCGGGUACCAGCCUCAGUCCAACGGCCAGGUGGAGACAACAAACCAGGAGCUGUGGAGGUUCCUUACGAGUCACUGCCAGGACCAUCAGGGGGAGUGGGCCCAGUUCCUUCCCUGGGCGGAGAACACCCAGAACUCACUCUGUCACUCCUCCACCGGGCUGACUCCAUUCCAGUGCAUCCUGGGAUGUCAGCCAGCCCUGGCCCCGUGGACCUCGAGCCAGACCGAAUCCCCUGCGGUGGGCGAGUGGUUCCGUGUCCAGAAGGAGCAGGCGGACCACCACUGUAGUGCGGCUCCCGUGUUCCAUUCUGGUGAUCGCGUCUGGCUCUCCACCAGGAACCUGAGCCACCGGUUUGUGGGACCCUUCAAGGUCAUCCGGAGGGUCAACAAGGUUGGUGGCUCCUGGUCCCCAGGCUGAUGCCUUCCCUCGCAACACCCCGAUGCCUUCCCUUGCAACACCCCAUCGCCUCCCCUGGGACCCCUUGCCUAUGCCGUCAGGUCCCUACUGGAAUCCUGUUGUCGUUCUGUACGAUACUCCUGUUCUGUUCAUCUGCCUUGUCUUAUUAUAUUUUUUACUUUUCCCCCUUUUUCUCCCCAAUUUCGUGGUAUCCAAUUGGUAGUUACAGUCUUGUCUCAUCGCUGCAACUCCUGUAUGGACUCGAGAGAAGCGAAGGUCGAGAGCCAUGCGUCCUCCGAAACACGACCCAACCAAGCUGUACUGCUUCUUGACACAAUGCCUGCUUAACCCGGAAGCCAGCCACACCAAUGUGUUGGAGGAAACACCGUACACCUGGCGACCGUGUCAGCGUGCAUGCGCCCGGCCCACCACAGGAGUUGCUAGAGCAUGAUGGGACAAGAAGAUCUCUGCUGGCCAAACCCUCCCCUAACCUGGACGAUGCUGGGCCAAUUGUGCACCAGCCCAUGGGUCUCCCGGUUGCAGCCGGCUGUGACAGAGCCUGGAGUCGAACCAGGAUCUCUAGUGGCACAGCUAGCAACUCUGAUGCAGUGCCGUAGGCCACUGAACCACUAGGGAGGCGCCUUGUCUUAUUAUUAAACUGUCUUUCUGAACCUC
ensembl:lncRNA